UACAGAGGGUGCGAGCGUUAAUCGGAAUUACUGGGCGUAAAGCGUGCGUAGUCGGUCAUGUAAGUCGGAUGUGAAAGCCCCGGGCUCAACCUGGGAAUUGCAUUCGAGACUGCAUGGCUUGGGUGCGGAAGAGGGAAGCGGAAUUUCCGGUGUAGCGGUGAAAUGCGUAGAUAUCGGAAGGAACACCAGUGGCGAAAGCGGCUUCCUGGUCCGACACCGACGUUCAGGCACGAAAGCGUGGGGAGCAAACAGG
rnacentral:rRNA from 1 species